UACGUAGGUGGCAAGCGUUAUCCGGAUUUAUUGGGCGUAAAGGGAACGCAGGCGGUCUUUUAGGUCUGAUGUGAAAGCCUUCGGCUUAACCGGAGUAGUGCAUUGGAAACUGGGAGACUUGAGUGCAGGAGGGGUAAGCGGAAUUCCUAGUGUAGCGGUGAAAUGCGUAGAUAUUAGGAGGAACACCGGCGGCGAAGGCGGCUUACUGGACUGUAACUGACGUUGAGGCUCGAAAGCGUGGGGAGCAAACAGG
rnacentral:rRNA from 1 species